AUGCAGCCGCCGCUCGGCAAGAAGACGAAAGGGCGCCAGCGCCGCGAGAACCGGCUGGUGGAGGACAGGGAGUCCCGGCAGGUGACCUUCUCCAAGCGCAAGUCCGGCCUCUGGAAGAAGGCCUCCGAGCUCGCCCUGCUCUGCCGCGCCAGCCUCGCCGUCGUCGUCUUCUCCGAGGCCGGCAAAGGCUUCGCGUUCGGCAGCCCCUCCACCGACGCCGUCCUGGCCUACGCCGGCUACGGCGACGCCGAUGUCCAUGCUGCCGCUGCCGCUGCUGACGACGUGGAGUGGGAGGCCCUGGAGGCGAUGUGCCGGGAGACGGAGAAGAAAGGCGUGGAGGUGGCCGCGGAGGCCGCGCGGAUGAGCGCCGUCGGGAAGAAGGUGGCGGACGUGCAGACGCAGGCGGGGAAGCGGUUCUGGUGGGAGGUGGACGUGGAGGCGCUCGGGGAGGCCGAGCUGCCCGAGUUCGCCAGGGCGCUCCAGCGCCUCAGGGACAACGUGCGCCGCCGCGCUGACAACCUGGUGUCCGCUCUGCCGCCGCCGUAG
rnacentral:rRNA from 1 species